AACGCACCUUGCGCCCUUUGGUAAUCCGAGGGGCAUGCCUGUUUGAGUGUCUUGAAGCCCUCAAGCCCGAAGUCCUCCUUUGUUGGGGGUACGUCGAGGCUUGGAUUUGGACUUUUGCCGGUCGCGUCGCGCGGUCGGCUGGUCUUGAAAGCAUUAGCUGGCUGCUGAGGUUGGCGAACCGGUGUGAUAAAGUCACUCGCCGGGGAAGCGACCUUGUUUGGCGGCUGCUUCGAACCGUCUCGUCGAGGGACAGUGUACUUUAAGUGUUUGACCUCAAAUCAGGUAGGACUACCCGCUGAACUUAA
rnacentral:rRNA from 1 species